rnacentral:rRNA from 1 species
GUCCACGCCGUAAACGAUAAUCACUAGAUGUUGGUUCGGCUUAGCUGGAUCAGUGUCGUAGCUAACGCGUUAAGUGAUUCGCCUGGGGAGUAUGGUCGCAAGGCUAAAACUUAAAAGAAUUGACGGGGGUCCGCACAAGCGGUGGAACAUGUGGUUUAAUUCGACACUACGCGAGAAACCUUACCUGGGCUUGACAUGUACUUGACAGCUGUAGAAAUAUGGUCUUUUGAGCUUCGGUUCAAACGGGUACACAGGUGCUGCAUGGCUGUCGU